CCGUUGGUUGCGCGGGUGCGUCCGGCGCAGGUGCCGUUGUCGUUGGCGCAGCAGCGGAUGUGGUUCCUGAAUCGGUUGGAUCCGGGGUCGGCGGC
rnacentral:tRNA from 1 species